GUGCUCAUUUCGGCAGCACAGGUCCUAAAAUGGGAAGGAUGCAGAGAAGAUUGGCGCCCCUGUGCAAGGAUGACAUGCAAAUUCUGGAAGCCUUCCAUAUUUUU